GAAAGAAAAACGCAGUUUUUGAAAACCUUUUGCGCACUUGGGCAGCAGCGCGGCCUAUGAGUACGCGCGGGCAGGAUGAGUCAACGGGACGCACUGCAAUGAGAGAGAUUAGUUGUCCCCAGAGCCGCCUCACUAGACACCAGUUGCUAGAGUGGAGCGUGGGCCCCUUCGGUGUGGGGAUCAAGGGCUCCUCCUCAGGAUCUCUGGAGUCCCUCCGUGCUCUGGAAGCCAGAUAUCUGAUGUUGCUUCUCGGUCUUCUGACAACUUGCAUCCUCCUCUCUGCUUCCAGUGACGUCCACACAGACCUCCCAUGUUGUGUUGCCGUUCUUCAACUGUUCAGUCGUGUCUGGCUCGUUGCGACCUCACGCAAUGCAGCACACCAGGCGUCCUCCUCCUUCACCAUCUCCCAGACUUGUUCAAACGCAUGUCUGUUAAGUCGGUGAUGAGAUCCAACCGUCUCAUCCUCUGCCGUCCCCUUCUCCUCCCCGUGGUUAGUGGAUGCAAUUUCCUGUUACGAGCAGGUGAUCUUUUCUGUGCUCUGCUUGUCCAUAGAUGGUGAAGACUCCUGCUUCUCAUCAAAGGUCCAUGUGGCCCUGGGUCCCGGGCAGUCAGGCAGGUCUAUGUGACACACUCUGGCCAGUGGGCUCUCUCCAGAAUCAUGCGUCUUUUCCAGGUUCAGUCCCUUCAGAACUGGUGUGUUUCUCUCUGGAUGCAUCAUCCUCUGCCCUGGUGACCCCAGAGGCCACGUGUUGAGAUGGAUGGUCAGAGGAGUGGUCAGUGUUGAGCAACCAGCACUCUGGGGGACGCAAUCAACAUCAUUGGUGACGUUUGCUAAUUUCAUGGUGUCGAUACUCCCAGCAAGGCCAGUUUGACGCUGCUCCUGCGCUGUCUCUGAGUGCAGAGAUGGGAGGAGAUGGUGACUGUUGGGGUCUCUGAGCUGGUGCCAGUUGGCCCCCUGGGGUGUGAGGGCAGAGCGGGCCUGGACUGGAGAUGCAUGUUCUUCCCACAGGUGGGCCUCAGGGUGGAGACUCGGGGGUGCUGUCGGGGGCGGGGUGCCUGGACACCCCAGGGAGAUGACGACGCCUCCGGUGAUGCCAGCGGGUGGGCAGGUACACCUGGGUCCACAUGUGGCCAGAUGUCAGGAUGAAACACGGACACAGACUCCCCUUGUCCAUGCCUGCAGGGGUUAUCAGUCAGCCACCUCUUGCUCUGGCAAAGCCACGAGAAUAUCACCAUGGGAAAAGAAUAAAAGCAAAAUAUAGCAAUACAGCCUAACCCCAAUAAAAGUGCAUUAGGCUGAUCAGUUGGGGUUGUCAUGCCCUGCUAAGCUAAGGAAAAACAGUGUGGACCUUGGAACGCCAGGUCAGCGCGAGUUCAGAACGCUGAUGUGCACACACCGAGGUGUCUUCCCAAGGUACAUGCGGGGCUAUGACCUUCGAUAGCCUUUGUACCUAAAAAAUAACAAAGAGUGUUUAAAGUAAUCAAUAAAAUGGGAGAUGUGACCAGGGACA